UGGGGAAUAUUGGACAAUGGACGAAAGUCUGAUCCAGCAACGCCGCGUGAAGGAUGAAGGUCUUAGGAUUGUAAACUUCUUUUGACAGGGAAGAUAAUGACUGUACCUGUAGAAUAAGCACCGGCUAACUUCGUGCCAGCAGCCGCGGUAAUACGAAGGGUGCUAGCGUUAUUCGGAAUUAUUGGGCGUAAAGAAUGCGUAGGCGGACUUGUAAGUUAGAAGUGAAAUCCCUGGGCUCAACCUAGGAACUGCUUUUAAAACUGCUUGUCUUGAAUGUUGGAAAGAUUAGGGGAAUUUCUGGUGUAGGGGUAAUAUCCGUAGAUAUCAGAAGGAAGACCGGAAGCGAAAGCGCCUAAUUAGCCAAAUAUUGACGCUGAUGCAUGAAAGCGUGGGGAGCAAA
rnacentral:rRNA from 1 species